GGGGGUGACUGGUUUCGACAUGAUAGUUCUGACAGGGGCAGCAGGUCGUGGUCUCCUCGCCACGUUAAACAGGGGUACAGCCAAUUAACUGGCAAAGUUGUUUCUUUCAAGGGUGCACAGCGCAACGCUGUCGCCCUGGCUGCCUAAUUUAGGUUCAGCCCUCCCAACCGCAUGUUCGAUCCCCGGCAUGCGCACGGGAUCAUUAUCAGGGGAUUGCACUCGUGGACGUAGUCGGUAUGCCGCGAGCCAAGCUUGAACCGGCGGAAGGUCGCCACGCUUGUCGGUGUGCCGCGUGGCCUUCCUACUCGAACAGCGACUAAGCCUGUAGACACCUCUCGAUUUUCUACCGUGGACCGGAGUUCGAUUCUCCGCACCUCCACCA
rnacentral:tmRNA from 1 species